CCAGAAACCACCAUGGGUUUGCCUGCGUCUUCCUGCUGCAAGAGGUGAGGAGUGUUCAGCUUUCCUUUCUCAUGGGAGCUGUUGACCCUCAUCUGACCUUUGUGAUGGCUGAAAAAUGAAGAGGUAGGAGCGUAGAGAGGGGAGAUGAGAGGGGAAAUGUUUAUCAAAUGUGAAUACAGGCACCUCUAUUGUAAGAAAAACCAACAUAGUUUCCACUAUUUAAAGGUCAUAAACUUUGGGCCUGUGGAAUAUUCUCCUGGACGUUUCAAUUUUUAAAAAGCACUAUUUUUUUUUUUUUUUUUUAUGAACAGGAAAAUGGAGACUCUCUUCUCAAGACAGUAAAAAUAAAUUUCUCUGGUUAUAUAGGUUAUUGGGGAGCCAAAGAAGGAAGUCAACGCAAAUAUGCGAUGUCAUUGAAGCCAAUUCAUCGUUUUGUUUGGUUGAUGAAUGAGCAUUGCCUCGGUCAUCAAUAACAAUACAUGUUUAUCAAGUGCUUGCUGAGUGCCAGAGCCUGUGCUAAGUAUAAUGCUUGACACCUCCUUCAGCAGAAACCCAUGAGGGAUGUGGUGCCACCACCAGCUAACAAGUAAGUAUGUGAAAUGAAGCCCUGCCUGGGCCCAGAGCUGGGGUGGCCUGGGUCUGUA
rnacentral:lncRNA from 1 species